rnacentral:rRNA from 1 species
GUCCACGCCGUAAACUAUGGAUGCUAGCCGUCAGCAAGCUUGCUUGUUGGUGGCGCAGCUAACGCAUUAAGCAUCCCGCCUGGGGAGUACGGUAGCAAGAUUAAAACUCAAAGGAAUUGACGGGGCCCGCACAAGCGGUGGAGCAUGUGGUUUAAUUCGAAGCAACGCGCAGAACCUUACCUACCCUUGACAUGUCGGUCGCGGGGACCAGAGAUGGACCCCCUUUCAGUUCGGCUGGACCGAACACAGGUGCUGCAUGGCUGUCGU